UCGUUGGUGGUCCUUACAACUGUCACUGUCACUAUAUGGUACUGUAGCUCACUGUUCCUAGGUCGUCGUGGGUCGUCGGCGGUGCUUACUGUCACUUGUGGGUCGUGGGCGGGGCUUGAGUCACUGCAGGCCGAAGAGCCAGUUGAUGCCCUGCGCCAUGAACAGCACGAGCGGCUGCCACGCCACCAGCCAGCGGAUCCAGUCCAGCAGCUGCCCGAACAGUAUGUGCGGCCGGUCCCAGCUGGUGACGCGUUAAGGACUCAUUUGUUAACAUUACUAGUCACUGACUGUUCUGAGGUGAUCAAGUGGGUCGUUGGUGGUCCUUAGAACUGUCACUGUCACUGUGUGGUACUAGGACUGUCACUAGUAGCUGUCACUGUUCAUAGGUCGUCGUGGGUCGUAGUUACUAUUCUUUGGUCAUCAAGAUGCGGGUCGUUGGUGGUCCUUAGGACUGUCACUGUCACUAUGUGGUACUGUAUUAUUACUUGUAGCUGUCACUGUUCCUAGAUCGUCGUGGGUCGUCGGCGGUGCUUACUGUCACUGUUCCUCGGUCACUUGUGGGUCGUGGGCGGGGAUUGAGUCACUGCAGGCCGAAGAGCCAAUUGAUGCGGUGAUCAAGAUGCGGGUCGUUGGUGGUCCUUAGAACUGUCACUGUCACUGUGUGGUACUAGGACUGUCACUAGUAGCUGUCACUGUUCAUAGGUCGUCGUGGGUCGUAGUUACUAUUCUUUGGUCAUCAAGAUGCGGGUCGUUGGUGGUCCUUACAACUGUCACUGUCACUAUGUGGUACUGUAUUAUUAUUAGUAGCUGUCACUGUUCCUAGGUCGUCGUGGGUCGUCGGCGGUGCUCACAACUAUUAUUCCUCGGUCACCAAAUUGUGGGUCGUCGACGGGGCUUGAGUCACUGCAGGCCGAAGAGCCAGUUGAUGCGGUGAUCAAGAUGUGGGUCGUUGGUGGUCCUUACAACUGUCACUGUCACUAUAUGGUACUGUAGCUCACUGUUCCUAGGUCGUCGUGGGUCGUCGGCGUUGCUUACUGUCACUUGUGGGUCGUCGGCGGGGCUUGAGUCACUGCAGGCCGAAGAGCCAGUUGAUGCGGUGAUCAAGAUGCGGGUCGUUGGUGGUCCUUACAACUGUCACUGUCACUAUGUGGUACUAGUAGCUGUCACUGUUCCUAGGUCGUCGUGGGUCGUCGGCGGUGCUUACUGUCACUUGUGGGUCGUGGGCGGGGCUUGAGUCACUGCAGGCCGAAGAGCCAGUUGAUGCCCUGCGCCAUGAACAGCACGAGCGGCUGCCACGCCACCAGCCAGCGGAUCCAGUCCAGCAGCUGCCCGAACAGUAUGUGCGGCCGGUCCCAGCUGGUGACGCGUUAAGGACUCAUUUGUUAACAUUACUAGUCACUGACUGUUCGGAGGUGAUCAAGUGGGUCGUUGGUGGUCCUUAGAACUGUCACUGUCACUGUGUGGUACUAGGACUGUCACUAGUAGCUGUCACUGUUCCUAGGUCGUCGUGGGUCGUUGUUACUAUUCUUUGGUCAUCAAGAUGCGGGUCGUUGGUGGUCCUUACAACUGUCACUGUCACUAUGUGGUACUGUAUUAUUACUUGUAGCUGUCACUGUUCCUAGGUCGUCGUGGGUCGUAGGCGGUGCUUACUGUCACUUGUGGGUCGUGGGCGGGGCUUGAGUCACUGC